rnacentral:tRNA from 1 species
GUCGUCGUGACCGAGUGGUUAACGCGACAGACUUGAAACAACAGGUUCGAAUCCUGUCGGCGACG